CGUCACCUCGCGAGAUCUGGGCAUGAAGUCCCGCUCCACCGCGUGCCCCACGACCCGGCGUGGCUGGACAGGAGUUGCUUCUGCCGCUGGAACACUGUGUCCCUCCGCCGCCACGCUCCUGAGCUUCACGUGCCGCUCCUUAGCUGCGGUGAGCACCCUUGCUAAGGCAACAUUUCUGAUGGCGAGUCUGCUGGCUGCCGGCUUCCUUCUCCUUCGUGUCCUCCGCCUCCCCAGACCCGAGCACAGGCCUCCAGAUACGGCGCAGGCGGUAUGGACCGCCACCUAUUUUCUGUGGGAAAAAAGUGUUUGGAACUGCCUACUCAACCAUUUUGCUGAUGCCACUGUGGGGACCUGGAAGUGGCCACCCCAAGAUAUGUCUCUUUGGCAUCAGGAUUAUUUGAGUCUGAUUGCUUUUGAUAAACUGGGACAGGGAAGGAGGAAUGGAACUUGCCCUUCGUUAGGACACAUUUACAUUUGUAAGGUAAAUCUCUAUCUGUAAAUUUGCCUCCCUCUCUGUACCAGGAAGAAGAAAGGUGAUGACCUUCUCUCUAAAAACUCUUAAUCAAUACCAAAGGCAAGGACUUAAAUCUGCAUUUUAUUGUGCUUCUCUGGUAACCUCCUGUAACUGACUUCCUUCCCUCUCUCAACGUUGGCGUCUCCUUAAAGAUUAAGCAUCUUUCUUUGGGCUGGGAACGGGUUGCGGGGCUCAUCUGUGACCCCCCCCCCCAGCCUGAGGUAACACACCUGCCACCCCGUGGCGUCCACUGAGACAGCAGACCUAUCUGCCGUUUCCAUCAAGCGCUGUGCUGACAGAGCAGCCUCGUGACUAUUGUAAAAGGGACAUUUCAAUCACAUGUGAAACACCCUGUUUGGGGGUAUAUAACCACUAUGUGCACCCCACUUCUUUGAUACCCUUUCUUCCUUCCGGAAGAAAGGCCCUGGGCCAUGGUUCCUCAUAAAGCUUUGUUUAAUUUUCUCUUGCUAUUCUGUCUCAUGUGAAUUUAAUUCGUUCUCUGGCCAGACGAACCCACAUUUGGGGAGAGGAAAUGUCCUCCUCCCCUACACCACUUAGUGCACAUGUUUGACUCUUCAAUUAGACUCUGUGUUCCUGGAGAGCAGGAGCUGUGGUUAAUAUUUAUAGUUAUCUUCUUUUUGGCAUUUAGUGCACAGUUUUUAAAGAAAUUGGAUUGAGUAUACAUUCACCUUGAACAGAGCUGUAGAUAUCAUUUGCUGAACACUCAAGUAUUAAGUCAUUUGUUCACUCACUAAAUAUUUGUCGACCUCCUCUUGUAUUUGAGGCAAUAGCUGAAUUCUAAGGAUGAAUCUGAGAGACAAAAUCUUUUCUAUAAAGGAUCUUAAAUCUAAAGGAGGGGAGACAAACAAUAAAUUCUUAAAUAGAGCAGCAGAUCAGUUAAUGUUUGUUUUGGGAGGAGUUUCUUUUGGUAGUGGCCUCUUAGAUAAUGGGAAACUGAGACUAGGCUCUGCGAAAGAUCUAGAGACAACCUCUCUCCUCUCCCUCAUUCCCACCUCGACCCUUUGACCUUAGAGAAGGAAAUUUAGACAUUCAAGGAAGUGCUGAAGAAGGGCUUUCUCAUAGUUUUCCAACUGCUUUGUUAUUUGGUUGGAGAUUCUGAAAUCUAAUUUUUGGCUCAUCCUCAUUGUUUAGCUUUGACUUCAAGGUUUCUGUAGUUUAUCUCCUAUACUUCCCCUCCAGCCUCCACCCUCUGACUUGAGGAUGUCAUAAUGCUUUAUUUGGUAUUUCAAAUGUAGAUAGUUAUAUCUUCAAAAUUUGUUCUCUGCAUGCCUAACAAUUGAAUUUCUUGAGGAUAACAGUAGGGAUAUUAAAUUACAUUUCAAUUUUUUAAGAGUAGUUGGCUAAGAUACCAGCUGCUUGUCAAACCUUUUUUUCAACAAAUGUUUCGGGAAUUCUUAUAUGCUUGGAGAAGAUUUUUGUAUUUGAUUGACUUCUCCUUCAUAGCUAGGUUAUUAUACAACAGCCUACAAAUAAGAGACAAAAUGAAAAAAAUCACAAAACAAAACUGUCAUGAAACAAACAAAAAUAACAGUGCUAGUCUCCUCUCCUCCCCUAGUUACGCUAUUUUGAAUCCUAGCUUUAAAAUAUUGACUCCUGUGGGCUAAUGCUGUUAUCUCAAUGGAGUGUAAAUGCCACAUGCUUACACUAAGUGAGUAAAAGAGUGUUUUUGAAGUUAUCCAAAAGGAUUGAAGAGACUCAGAAUAAUUUUUCUUUUGCACAAAAUCAGCAUUAAGGUCAGUUAAUGGCAGACAGUUGUGCCAUUAUAUCAUAUUUUUGGAUUUAGUACUAUCCUUCAGGGUAUUUCAAAUUUAAAUAAACAGUUGAACAAAACCAUAGAAUAAUGGUAUACUUUUGUAGUUUGUUUUCACUGGAUUGGCUUGGUCCAAAUGCUGAAUAUUUGAGGAUAGAUAGCUCAGCUAUUAGUGUGCCCCAUCAGAAAAGCUCUCUCAUUUACUUAUUCAUUUAACAAAUAUUUAUGGAAUGCCCAGUGUAUGCCAGGUAUUGGUGGUGAAUAAAGGUGACAAGGUUCUUGCCUUUAUUGAACUGAGGUCUGGUUUAGGAGACAAACAGUAAACACAUAAAUGAAUAGUACGAAUUGUGAAAAGUGAUAUGCAGAAAUGGACAGGUGCUGUGUUAGGGAAUAACAGGGCUACUUACUUCAGUUGAGGCAGUCAUUUGAGAAGAUGGAGUUAAAAUGAGAUUGAUGAGAAGGAACUCUCCAGGCAGAGGAGUGAGGGAUGGUGAAGCUUUCAGAUCCAGGGGAAGGAAUGUGCCUUGAAGCUGGAAAGAGCUUGUUCUAUUUAAGAUACAGAAAGUAGGGCUGGCACAGAGUGAAGGAGAAAGAGAGUCCUUAGGACAAAGUUGGAGAGUUCGGCAGGAGCCAGAUCAUCUAGGUCAGUGCCAAUUCUUGAACUGGGUCAUGAUGGCAUAAAUACAGAAGUUGAAAAUAAGCAUGUAAAACCUUUUAAAUGAUUUGACAGGGUGGUUUUAUAUCUAUUCAAUCUAAUAAAAAAUUAGACUUGUAUUUUGAUGUCCUUUUUUCUGGUUUCAUUUUUUCUAGUAAUUCAUUUUUAUUAUAUCUUAUAAAAGUAUCCAUCAGAGAG
ensembl:lncRNA